rnacentral:misc_RNA from 1 species
GAUGAAGAACGGAGCGAAAUGCGAUAAGUAAUGUGAAUUGCAGAAUUCAGUGAAUCAUCGAAUCUUUGAACGCACAUUGCGCCCGCCAGUAUUCUGGCGGGCAUGCCUGUUCGAGCGUCAUUUCAACCAUCAAGCCCCAGGCUUGUGUUGGGGACCUGCGGCUGCCGCAGGCCCUGAAAACCAGUGGCGGGCUCGCUAGUCACACCGAGCGUAGUAGCAUACACAUCGCUCAGGGCGUGCUGCGGGUUCCGGCCGUUAAACCCCUUUUUUACCCAAGGUUGACCUCGGAUCAGGUAGGAAGACCCGCUGAACUUAAGCAUAUCAAUAAGCGGAGGA